GCCUGGCUGGCUCAGUUGGUUGAGCAUCUGACUUGAGAUCAGGUCAUGAUCUUGCGGUUUGUGGGUUCAAACCCCAUGUCGGGCU